UAUCAAAUUGUUCUUAAUGAUAGGAAUUCCGAAUCGAUAAUCGGAGCCGUUGAAGUUGAUUUAGAGUAUUUAAAAUAUCUAGAAAUUAAAUUUUACAAAUUUUAAAAAUUAUUUACAUGGUGAUCAAAGUGUCAUAAAAUCGACAAUUUUUGACGACUAUAUGAGCCGUUUGCUUGUUUAACGGUGUAGAGUAAUCCAAAUUACUUGAAUUUUUGACAGAAAAUUUUUUAUACUAUUUAGAUAAUGUUUGAUAACUCUGAUUAUGAAUUAAGAAAGUCUAACCUCUAUUUUAAGAAGAUUAUUCAUUUAUAACCGUUUAUUUUUUCGACUAUUCGAUAGACUUGAUAAUGAUUUUUAAAUAUUACAAAAUUUGAUUUCUAAAUAUUUCCAAUUGUAUAGAUCAAUUUCAACAAUGCCGAUCAAUUAUCAAUUUGAAGUUCCGAUCAUUCAAAUCGACUUAAUAGGACAAUAUCCUCAAUCCUAUUAAUAGGAUAGUAGAUGGACUCCAUAUGUAGAGAGGAAGAGAUCAAUUGAGCUUGUAUAUUUUUAAAAGUACCAAAUUAUUAGUGCUUAUAGAUUUUCGGCCCUUAAAUGAAAGAAUGUGCAGUUAGGAUGAUAAUAAUUCUCUAGAAUUAAAUAGAUGGUUGAUGAAAUAGCAUAAUAUAAGGGAUAAAAUUGGUGAAAAGAAUAGAUAUAACUAUGAGAAACUUAUUAGGAACAAAUACUUAGUGUUUUUAAAAACACCAUAGCCGAACUUAUAUAUACAUAUGUGUGUGCGUGAGCGCACGCG
rnacentral:lncRNA from 1 species